rnacentral:rRNA from 1 species
GAUGAACGCUGGCGGCGUGCCUAAUACAUGCAAGUCGAGCGAACAGACGAGGAGCUUGCUCCUCUGACGUUAGCGGCGGACGGGUGAGUAACACGUGGAUAACCUACCUAUAAGACUGGGAUAACUUCGGGAAACCGGAGCUAAUACCGGAUAACAUGUUGAACCGCAUGGUUCAACAGUGAAAGACGGUUUUGCUGUCACUUAUAGAUGGCUCCGCGUCGCAUUAGCUAGUUGGUAAGGUAACGGCUUACCAAGGCAACGAUGCGUAGCCGACCUGAGAGGGUGAUCGGCCACACGGGAACUGAGACACGGUCCAGACUCCUACGGGAGGCAGCAGUAGGGAAUCUUCCGCAAUGGGCGAAAGCCUGACGGAGCAACGCCGCGUGAGUGAAGAAGGUCUUCGGAUCGUAAAACUCUGUUAUUAGGGAAGAACAAAUGUGUAAGUACCUAUGCACGUCUUGACGGUACCUAAUCAGAAAGCCACGGCUAACUACGUG